rnacentral:rRNA from 1 species
UACAGAGGGUGCGAGCGUUGUCCGGAAUUAUUGGGCGUAAAGCGCGCGCAGGCGGUCCUUUUAAGUCUGAUGUGAAAGCCCACGGCUCAACCGUGGAGGGUCAUUGGAAACUGGGGGACUUGAGUGCAGAAGAGGAAAGCGGAAUUCCACGUGUAGCGGUGAUACGUAGAGAAUGUGGAGGAACACCAGUGGCGAAGGCGGCUUUCUGGUCUGUAACUGACGCUGAGGCGCGAAAGCUGGGGGAUCAAACAGG